rnacentral:rRNA from 1 species
GAUGAACGCUGGCGGCGUGCCUAAUACAUGCAAGUCGAGCGAACGGACGAGAAGCUUGCUUCUCUGAUGUUAGCGGCGGACGGGUGAGUAACACGUGGAUAACCUACCUAUAAGACUGGGAUAACUUCGGGAAACCGGAGCUAAUACCGGAUAAUAUUUUGAACCGCAUGGUUCAAAAGUGAAAGACGGUCUUGCUGUCACUUAUAGAUGGAUCCGCGCUGCAUUAGCUAGUUGGCAAGGUAACGGCUUACCAAGGCAACGAUGCGUAGCCGACCUGAGAGGGUGAUCGGCCACACUGGAACUGAGGCACGGUCCAGACUCCUACGGGAGGCAGCAGUAGGGAAUCUUCCGCAAUGGGCGAAAGCCUGACGGAGCAACGCCGCGUGAGUGAUGAAGGUCUUCGGAUCGUAAAACUCUGUUAUUAGGGAAGAACAAAUGUGUAAGUAACUAUGCACGUCUUGACGGUACCUAAUCAGAAAGCCACGGCUAACUACGUG